rnacentral:sRNA from 1 species
GCUGGGCAUGGUGGUGCAUGCCUGUAAUCUCAACAGUUCAGGAGGCAGAGACAGGAGGAUCGUGAGCUCAAAGCCAGCCUCAGCAAAAGUGAGGUGCUAAGCAACUCAGUGAGACUCUGUCUCUA